AAUAGAUACCCUGGUAGUCCACGCCGUAAACGUUGGGAACUAGAUGUAGGGACCAUUCCACGGUUUCUGUGUCGCAGCUAACGCAUUAAGUUCCCCGCCUGGGGAGUACGGCCGCAAGGCUAAAACUCAAAGGAAUUGACGGGGGCCCGCACAAGCGGCGGAGCAUGCGGAUUAAUUCGAUGCAACGCGAAGAACCUUACCAAGGCUUGACAUACACGAGAACGGGCCAGAAAUGGUCAACUCUUUGGACACUCGUGAACAGGUGGUGCAUGGUUGUCGUCAGCUCGUGUCGUGAGAUGUUGGGUUAAGUCCCGCAACGAGCGCAACCCUCGUUCUAUGUUGCCAGCACGUAAUGGUGGGAACUCAUAGGAGACUGCCGGGGUCAACUCGGAGGAAGGUGGGGAUGACGUCAAAUCAUCAUGCCCCUUAUGUCUUGGGCUUCACGCAUGCUACAAUGGCCGAUACAAAGGGCUGCAAUACCGCAAGGUGGAGCGAAUCCCAAAAAGUCGGUCUCAGUUCGGAUUGAGGUCUGCAAC
rnacentral:rRNA from 1 species